rnacentral:lncRNA from 1 species
AAAUAAAAUCAAGUAAACAAGGCAAGUCUAGCCUAAAAAAAAAUUAAAGAAGACAAGCUGUCAAAGGACCAAUGGCACACUUGGCAUACAAACUGAGCUGACCUAGUUUUAACUGAGCUAAUCCAAUGAUAAAGAGUAGUCAAAAGAUAGAAAGACUGAAGUUUCAUGGAACAGUUCAGUUAGCCGACCCAGUGCAAAGUGAGCCGACCC